rnacentral:rRNA from 1 species
CUUGCACUCUGUGAAACAAGAUACAGGCUAGCGGCGGACGGGUGAGUAACACGUGGGUAACCUGCCCAAGAGAUCGGGAUAACACCUGGAAACAGAUGCUAAUACCGGAUAACAACAGAUGAUGCCUAUCAACUGUUUAAAAGAUGGUUCUGCUAUCACUCUUGGAUGGACCUGCGGUGCAUUAGCUAGUUGGUAGGGUAACGGCCUACCAAGGCGAUGAUGCAUAGCCGAGUUGAGAGACUGAUCGGCCACAUUGGGACUGAGACACGGCCCAAACUCCUACGGGAGGCAGCAGUAGGGAAUCUUCCACAAUGGACGCAAGUCUGAUGGAGCAACGCCGCGUGAGUGAAGAAGGGUUUCGGCUCGUAAAGCUCUGUUGUUGGUGAAGAAGGACAGGGGUAGUAACUGACCUUUGUUUGACGGUAAUCAAUUAGAAAGUCACGGCUAACUACGUGCCAGCAGCCGCGGUAAUACGUAGGUGGCAAGCGUUGUCCGGAUUUAUUGGGCGUAAAGCGAGUGCAGGCGGCUCGAUAAGUCUGAUGUGAAAGCCUUCGGCUCAACCGGAGAAUUGCAUCAGAAACUGUCGAGCUUGAGUACAGAAGAGGAGAGUGGAACUCCAUGUGUAGCGGUGAAAUGCGUAGAUAUAUGGAAGAACACCGGUGGCGAAGGCGGCUCUCUGGUCUGUUACUGACGCUGAGGCUCGAAAGCAUGGGUAGCGA